ensembl:lncRNA
UUUUCUCCCAUUUUUUCCCAUUUCUGCUCCAUUUUUCCCCAUUUUUCCCAUUUCCACCCCAUUUUUUCCCGUUUUCCCCGUAUUUUCCCAUUUCCAUCCCAUUUUUUCCCUUUUUCUCCCCAUUUUUGCCCCAUUUUCUCCCGUUUUUUCCCAUUUCCACCCCAUUUUUUCUCAUUUCCAUCCCAUUUUUUUCUGUUUUUUCCCGUUUUUUCCCAUUUUCUCCCCAUUUUCCCCAUUUCUGCCCCAUUUUUCCCCAUUUUUCCCAUUUCCACCCCAUUUUUUCCUGUUUUCCCCGUAUUUUCCCAUUUCCAUCCUGUUUUUUCCCGUUUUUUCCCAUUUUUUCCCAUUUCCACCCCGUUUUUUCCCAUUUCCAUCCCAUUUCCAUCCCAUUUUUUCCCCGUUUUUCCCCAUUUUCUGCCCCAUUUUUUCCCUUUUUCUCCCCAUUUUUUCCCAUUUCCAUCCCGUUUUUCCCCAUUUUUUCCCGUUUCCAGCCCAUUUCCUUCCCAUUUUUACCCCAUUUUUUCCCAUUUUUUCCCAUUUCCACCCCGUUUUUUCCCAUUUCCAUCCCAUUUUUCCCCAUUUUCCUCAUUUUUUCCCAUUUCCACCCCGUUUUUUCCCAUUUUUUCCCCGUUUUUCCCCAUUUUUUUCCGUUUCCACCCCGUUUUUCCCCAUUUCCUUCCCGGUUUUCCCCAUUUUUUCCCCAUUUCCAGCCCGUUUUUCCCCGUUUUUCCCCAUUUUCCCCAUUUCCAUCCCGUUUUCCCGUUUUCCCCAUUUUUCCCGUUUCCAGCCCGUUUUUUCUCGUUUCCAUCCCGUUUUUCCCGUUUCCAGCCCGUUUUUCCCCGUUUUUCCCGUUUCCAUCCCAUUUCCAUCCCGUUUUUCCCGUUUCCAGCCCGUUUUUCCCGUUUCCAGCCCAUUUUUUCCCAUUUUUUCCCGUUUCCAGCCCGUUUUUCCUGUUUCCAGCCCGUUUUUCCCCGUUUUUCCCAUUUCCAUCCCGUUUUUCCCCAUUUUCACCCCGUUUUUCCCCAUUUCCUUCCCAUUUUUCCCCCGUUUUUUCCCAUUUUUCCCAUUUCCAUCCUGUUUUUCCCCGUUUUUCCCCAUUUUUUCCCGUUUCCAUCCCGUUUUUCCCAUUUCCAGCCCAUUUUUUCCGGUUUCCAGCCCAUUUCCAUCCCGUUUUUCCCCGUUUUUCCCGUUUCCAGCCCAUUUCCAGCCCAUUUCCAGCCCGUUUUUCCCCGUUUCCUGCCCGUUUUUCCCGUUUCCAUCCCGUUUCCAGCCCGUUUUUCCCCGUUUCCCCCCAUUUUUUCCCGUUUCCAUCCCGUUUCCAGCCCGUUUUUCCCGUUUCCAGCCCGUUUUUCCCGUUUCCCCCAUUUUUUCCCGUUUCCAGCCCGUUUCCAGCCCGUUUCCCCCCAUUUUUUCCCGUUUCCAGCCCGUUUCCAGCCCGUUUCCAGCCCGUUUCCCCCCAUUUUUUCCCGUUUCCAGCCCGUUUCCAGCCCGUUUCCCCCCAUUUUUUCCCGUUUCCAUCCCGUUUCCAGCCCGUUUCCCCCCAUUUUUUCCCGUUUCCAGCCCGUUUUUUCUCGUUUCCAUCCCGUUUUUCCCGUUUCCAGCCCGUUUUUCCCCAUUUUUCCCGUUUCCAGCCCGUUUUUUCUCGUUUCCAUCCCGUUUUUCCCGUUUCCAGCCCGUUUUUCCCCGUUUUCCCCCAUUUUUUCCUGUUUCCAGCCCAUUUCCAGCCCGUUUCCAGCCUGUUUUUCCCAUUUCCAGCCCAUUUUUUCCCGUUUCCAGCCCAUUUCCAGCCCGUUUCCAGCCCGAUUUUCCCCGUUUCCUGCCUGUUUUUCCCGUUUCCAUCCCGNNNNNNNNNNNNNNNNNNNNCAGCCCAUUUUUUCCCAUUUCCAUCCCGUUUUUCCCCGUUUCCAGCCCAUUUCCAUCCCGUUUUUCCCCGUUUCCAUCCCGUUUUUCCCCGUUUUUCCCGUUUCCAGCCCAUUUUUUCCCGUUUCCAUCCCGUUUCCAGCCCGUUUUUCCCAUUUCCAUCCCAUUUUUUCCCGUUUCCAGCCCGUUUUUCCCCGUUUCCUGCCCGUUUUUCCCGUUUCCAUCCCGUUUCCAGCCCGUUUUUCCCAUUUCCAUCCCGUUUUUUCCCGUUUCC